GUAGGUGGCAAGCGUUGUCCGGGAAUUAUUGGGCGUAAAGCGCGCGCAGGCGGUUCGUUUAAGUCUGAUGUGAAAGCCCACGGGCUCAACCGUGGAGGGUCAUUGGAAACUGGAGAACUUGAGUACAGAAGAGGAAAGCGGAAUUCCACGUGUAGCGGUGAAAUGCGUAGAGAUGUGGAGGAACACCAGUGGCGAAGGCGGCUUUCUGGUCUGUAACUGACGCUGAGGCGCGAAAGCGUGGGGAGCAAACAGGAUUAGAUACCCUGGUAGUCCACGCCGUAAACGAUGAGUGCUAAGUGUUAGGGGGUUUCCGCCCCAUAGUGCUGCAGCUAACGCAUUAAGCACUCCGCCUGGGGAGUACGGCCGCAAGGCUG
rnacentral:rRNA from 1 species